ensembl:lncRNA
CCCCCCCCCCGAGGCAUAACCCCCCACCAUAUAUCCCCUACAUCACGAUAAAUGCCACUGUUCCCAAUUGGGAUCAAAAGCCACGGCUGUAUUUUCACCCUCUGUCUUCAUACCACCCCAAUGCUUCGAGUCCAGUCCUGCAGACGUCAGGGUUAGAUAAAACCCCUGUGAAAUGGCCCCAGGAGAGGGAUGUGGACCCAGAAGAGGAAUGUGGACCCCAAAGCCCCCUCAGCACCGCAGGCCUAACAGUGGGGUGAGGACAGAAUGCCCUCUCAGUCUUCAACUGUGCCCCAAAGUGGAGCAUUUCCCCCUUGGAGUCAAUGUGGGGACACCCAGAGAUGCUCAUCCCCAUCUCCCCUCGGGGAAGGAGGGGCACCCGAAGCCCCAUCCCUGCUUCCCUGUCGCUUUAAGUCCCGGCUGUGCGUUUUCCACGUGGAGAUUUUUUCCUUUUCUCCUUUUAUCCCUCCCUUCUUCCCCUGCCCGGACUAUGGGGCCAGCACAGGGUCGGAUGGGGAUGAGUGCCCGAGCGGGGCUCACUCCGGCACUGGGCGCCACCGUGGGGACCGAAGUGACCCCCGGGUCCCCCCACAGCUGCGUGCCCCCCGUUUCUUUCUUUCCCCGUCCUUCCCUCUGCGCUCCUCCCUUCUCCCCGCAGGGACUGGAAAUACCAGAGUUGAUGUCAUAGGCAGCGGUUCGCCAGGACGGGAAGCUCAGCCCAGCCUCCCCCUGCUGCGUCCCCGUGUCCUAUGGCUCUGUGUGGGGAUGCGGGGAUGUGGGGUCAUGGGGUUGCUCCCCAGCUCCCCAGCCCUGCACACAACCAGGUUGCGGGCACACAACCCCACAGCCGGCUUACCCCCCUCGGCUGUCCUCAGACCCCCCCUUGACUCCAAUACCCCAUACCUGGGUGUCCCACACGGCUCGCUGCCCCCUCCCCAAGCACGAAGGAGCACCGAGCAGUGCCAGCAGCUCCGCCACGUCAUCCACGAGACAACACUGUGGCAUUGGAGACACCAUCCCCAUCUCCUUCACUGGGGGACACAGGACCCCACCCCACAUCCCCCAGUGGGGUGGCCACGUGCCCGUCCCCAAGCAGGACCCUGGGCCACUAGUGGAGGUAGUGACACUGCAGCAUGGGGGGGCCAGCACCCACUAGAUGGUGCCAGCAGCCCACGCUUGGGUGGGGACAGCCACCCCCUUGGUGUCCCACUUGUCCCCUUCUCAUCUCUUUUACCUCUCCCCGUAUAACCAAACCGGCUGCAAGGAUCACCACUUCUGCACCAUUUCCCCAUCGAUGUGGUUUCUGGCGCGGUUCGGAUCGAUGCUUGCUUAAACUCUUAGGGUUUCCCAGUAUCACGGAACUGCGCCAGGCUCCCCUCCAACCUCUGCAUCCUCACUCAGGCAAAAAGAAGUGCCGAUUUCAUUUAAAAAAGGACUUUCCCCUCGGUUUUAAUGCAAGACUCGGUGGUUUCCAACCCUCCUCCCAGCUGGCACCUGGGGGCUUCCCAUUCCUCCCAGCAUCCGCCCGAUGCUCGCCCAUGGGAGGGACCAAAAGCCAAUGGUGACAGCAUCUGAGGGUCACUAUGGGGAUUCAGGGAGGUCCUCCAACCUUCAUUUCUUUCUGCAGUACAUCACCUCCAUUUUGCCCGCGGGAGGAAUCCGUGCUGCUGAGCGUGGUGGCUGCUUGCUCCGGAGCGUUUAUCUCCUUGGACUGUUGGUUAGAGCAAAGCCUCAGGAGGAGCAAGGCCAUACACCUGCCAGCUACCCAAGAGCGAUCCCAAGAAGCUUGGAGAGUACUGAUAGAGGAGAACUCCAUCUCUCCAGAAACCUCACCACUUCCAAAUGUAUUAAUGGAAAAAAUAAUGAGAAUUAGUGAAAAAUGAAAAAAUAAAAAAUAAAAUAAGGCUCUUUCCUAGUUAUUUAACAUAGGAAGGAAAAUCUCCAGAAAUCACCACGUCAUUCCUCACCACGUCCACCACAUUUGGUCAUCUCAGCACUGAUACACACAGAGGGUCCCAGAGCUCCUUCCAGACAGACCCUCACCUUGGGCACAGGACCAGAAGUGAAUUCAGCACCUUGCAGGUCUGGGGGAUGAGCUCGGCAGGGACAUGACUCUUAAAAGUGGAGCCAGAGAGAUGGGGACUUGUACGUGUUGAGCGGCGGUGGCUCAGAAGAGGCCAUCACAUAGCUGUGUGCUCGGGGAAAAGGGCUGAGCUCAAAACAUUCUAAUGACAUUUAAGCUUUUGUCUCCUUCUCAGCAUCCACGUUUGUCCAGUUCUACCUUGGAUCUGCACCUCUGACUCGAGAGCUGAAUUAUGUGUGGUGCAAACAAGUCCUGCCUUUGUUUUAAGACUUCUUUCACCUGAUGUCUUCUGUUUCUCACAUUGUAAGGAAGAAUAAUUGCUCCUUGCUUGCCCUUCCCUGCUGCUCAGGUUUUUAUAGACCUCUGCCACAGCUCCCAUCUGUCAUCCCUCUCCUAUGCUGAUAAGCACCAGGUUAUUUAACUUUCCUCACACAAAGCUGUUUCCACCCCUCUGGUCUCCUUUGACACCCCUCUAAAUUGUCACCUAGGGAGAUCUGAUGUCUCAAUGCAGCAGCUUGGAGCCACCAGACACGCACAAGAAAUACACAAACAAUGCCCCACGUCUGGCUGAAACCUCUGGAAGUGAAAAUCUGAUUAGUCCCACUUUUAACCAUCUCACACCUACCCAGACCAGUCUUCCAGGCAGUGAUCUGGAAGCCUGACUUCUUAAAAUGGCACGUCUUGAAUCACCAAGCCACUCUUAACUGCUCUCCGUGAUGAGUUCUGCUCAGCUGUCAUGCUCUCCUGUCUUCUGCUUCCCAGAAACCAUGAAAAAGUCAGAGAAAAACAUAUACAUAAUAAAUUCAUGAUGGAUUUCCAAGGAUUCUUGUCUCUUUCUUGAGUGGGUCAAGGUUGGACUCAUAGAAAUAAGUGGGGAAAAAGGUGGUGAAGAGGUCUUGAACAAAGCUAACCAGGGCAGUCUUAAAUGAAAUUGAAGGCAGGGGUACACUGCGAGGAAGGAAGGGAUGCUGGGAUGGAGGAAUCCUUUGGGCAGCAAACCCACCCUUGGCCCAAUAGCUGUUUAACUUCUCUGACAGCAUCUUCCAGAGACCCAUUCAUCUUUUAUGGAUGGAGGCCUGCAAGCACUCCCUCUUCGUCCCCAGUUUUGUUCUUAAAAACUGUUCCAUCAAAG